GAUUACUCCUACGGGAGGCAGCAGUGGGGAAUAUUGCACAAUGGGCGAAAGCCUGAUGCAGCGACGCCGCGUGAGCGAAGAAGUAUUUCGGUAUGUAAAGCUCUAUCAGCAGGGAAGAAAAUGACGGUACCUGACUAAGAAGCCCCGGCUAACUACGUGCCAGCAGCCGCGGUAAUAAU
rnacentral:rRNA from 1 species